AGGAGAAGAGUUUGGGUCACUCUGUGUUUGGAGUAAAGUUUGUGGGGCUGGAGAGCGUAGCUGUUCUUGUAUUUGCUGAGAAUAAGAGAAUGAAAGGUGUGGCAGGAAUCUGGUGAAGUGGUUUUGUGGAAUUUUGUAAAUUGUGCUACAUAAAUAGCGUAUCAAGGGAAUAAAAGUUGAAUAAGCUUGAUAUUUUGUUGGUA